rnacentral:lncRNA from 10 species
AGGCACUGGAAGUAGAGCAGCAAUGAAGACAGAUGUAGUCCUGGCAUUCCUCAAGCUUAUAGUCUAAUAGGAACGUCUACACUGAGAAAGAAAAAAAAGAAAAGAAGGAAGAAAAGAAGAAACCCUUCUCUGACACUUCAUAGACAAAAAACAAGAGGAGAUGAUUAUUUAAGUUCAUCAGUGGGAAUGGCACCUGCCCUGUCCUACUCUGGUUACUAGGGAAGUAACAGACUCCUUGGAAAAAACAACGUUGAGAUGGAGAGGGAAGGGGUGAAACUGGGAAAUGCUAAAUCUGAAUUCAGAGUAUCUGGCCUCAUCAUUCAGAUAUUUUAAGGAAUAAAGGAAGUUGACGGGUGGAAAUCUGAAGGUGAAUUAAAUAAUUGGAAGUUAUGAUGAAUUGCCAUUCCAUCUGUGUAUUGCCUUUAAUCUCUGGUCUGGCUCUUCUACCUGCCACAUGAAUUGAAAACUGAGUUUUUGGAGCCGGGGAUUUCUGGAAGAUGUGGAAUGGGAGAAAGCCUGAGGUGGUGAUAAGCCAGCAGCUUUCCCUGGUGCAAAGCUGAGCAGGUGCACAGCAUCAGGCCUGAUUUGGGCUGCUCACAUCCAAGCUUCAGACUCUCUUAAGAUGCUUUUCUGGGGAACACAUUCUUCACUCUCCACUCCCUUCAUCUGUACUUCAUUGUAAAAAAGGAAGUUAAACCAAAACGAAAUAAAUGUUAAGAUAGAACCUCAGGAUUCUAACCAUGAUACUUUUGCUUUACUGCUC